CUGUCAGAAUAUUUACGUGUAUUUAUCAAUGGCUUUGUCUCAAAUGGAAACUCAAGUGGGCGGUGUUCAAGCGCUCAAGGCGCGCGCCCGGGCACGGAGACCGUAACUCGGUCCGGAAUUCAGCGCAGAGUGAUGACAGUCCCAGCGCAGUCACAUUUAGACAAGGAAUAACUCACUUUCGCCUCUGUCAUUUAAUCAAGCGAUCCAGCUGCAGUUGCAAACACAAACACAGGCGCAACUUCAGACCAUGCGCCCUAUGUGAACAGCUGCGCAAAGACGCACAGGCUGAAAGACAUUUGACAGCUCGCCAACGGGACAUUGGAGUGGACAUGUGAAGAAAUGGAUAUGCAGCCUCUUCACACGAACAAAAUGCGAUCUGACAUCCUCAUCGCCCUCUUCCUCACCGCUGUGAUUGUUCCCCUGUGCACCUCGCAGUCAGGUGAGCGUCCAACUCCCGUGCGUAAAAGUGCUUGUCCAUCCUUCAUAUGUGGCUCGUUGGGUUGCUUUGUGUUCUGGUAUGACGUUUUGUUUAGUAAAUGUGCGCACAUCAGUGGAUUCGACAUUGUUUGUGUUCUAGAUGUGGCGAGCGUUUGUUAUCAAUACUUCUGUGCCAAACUCCAAGUGCCCAAAAUAUUUCCGUGGGCAAUCCACGAUGCUUCAUCCUUUGUGUGUGCGCGCGCUUAAGGGUAUUUUUCAAUCAGAACGUGCCAGUGCAUUCGUUAGAGAUGUCAUUAGGGCUGACUGACAUCAGAAAUCCAUUACUGGGGAUAAAUCACCAUUUGCAUCGCCAUUGCGCGUUUGCUCGCAGCGUUACGUGCCCGAAUACGGGUACGUUUCUGUCCCUCCUUUUUUUAAAAAUGACUUUGUUUCUUGACUGAUUACCAAUUUUUAGUGUAAAUCAGCAGUUUAAGUUGUUUCGU
rnacentral:lncRNA from 1 species